rnacentral:rRNA from 1 species
AUUGAACGCUGGCGGCAUGCCUUACACAUGCAAGUCGAACGGCAGCACGGGUGCUUGCACCUGGUGGCGAGUGGCGAACGGGUGAGUAAUACAUCGGAACAUGUCCUGUAGUGGGGGAUGGCCCGGCGAAAGCCGGAUUAAUACCGCAUACGAUCUACGGAUGAAAGCGGGGGACCUUCGGGCCUCGCGCUAUAGGGUUGGCCGAUGGCUGAUUAGCUAGUUGGUGGGGUAAAGGCCUACCAAGGCGACGAUCAGUAGCUGGUCUGAGAGGACGACCAGCCACACUGGGACUGAGACACGGCCCAGACUCCUACGCGAGGCAGCAGUGGGGAAUUUUGGACAAUGGGCGAAAGCCUGAUCCGGCAAUGCCGCGUGUGUGAAGAAGGCCUUCGGGUUGUAAAGCACUUUUGUCCGGAAAGAAAUCCUUGGCCCUAAUACGGUCGGGGGAUGACGGUACCGGAAGAAUAAGCACCGGCUAACUACGUG